rnacentral:lncRNA from 1 species
UUCUGCUGCUAUCUCAUAUGCACACUCACUCACACACUAUCUGUUCCUCUGCUUCCUUUCCUUCAUUCCCUCUUUCUCUUUUUCAUUUCUUCCUUUCCACUUCCAGCUUCCCCUUCUUUCCUUUGUCUGGUUAAUAUCAUAGAGGGUAGUUUCUUUGAAGAUAUAUAUAUUUUUUAAGGGUUACAAGCAGAGUAUUACAUAUAUUUAGGAAAAUCAACAUGGGAAAUCAUACAAGGCAUUAGAGAUACACUUAGUUACAUCUCGGAUGUUCCUUUAUUAGUGUAUUACAUGUAAAGAAGUUAGUUUGGCAUAUGUAUUUUCAGAUUGAUUUUUUAUUUUUAUGUUUUUCUAUUUAUAUUUUUAUGCUUUUUGUUGUAUUUCCAGAAUACAUAUAUCAUUUGUAUCUCAGAAGAUUGUGCAUUGGCAUAUUAAUGUUUUAACUAGUGUCUUAAGGUAUGUGCAUUGACAGUCUGUAUUAUUUUGUGAUGAUGGUCAUUAUAACUUCAUAUGGAAAAGAAAAGGGAGACAUCUUGUCCUCUGGCUUGUACAGUUCAUACUUAGAAUUUAACCUUUAUGAUUAAGAUGAUGAUAUUUGAGAUAACACCAUGUGAAGAGAAAUACAUCAUUUUGUAAUGGUUAAAUCACGUUCAUAUAUUAUUUGGCUCUAAUGUUGCCGAUUCGGUGAACUUGUGUAGACCCCUCAACCAGCACCUGUAGUGUCAAUACUGAAAUGUAAUACCCUAACAACAAACAUGCUUUAAUUGGGAGACAUAGUUGAAAUAAGAUGUAAGAAAAAAAUGUUUGUGGAGACUUGUUUAUUUAUCAGUGUUAUUCAGACAAGGGGGAAAAUAGAAACUUUGAGUAUAUACGAGACACAUGCUUUGUGCAUUCCGUUUAGUUUUUCUUUUUGCCUGAAAAAUGUGCAUUAUGUUUCUUAUGCUUGUUGAAUUAGUGUAAGCUUGUUUGGUUUAACAGCAGGCAAGUGUUGUAGGACCCAAAUCUGGGAGGGACUUUAUCUGUAAGUACUGUUCACUUUCAUCAGUUCAUGUCAUUAAAUGAAUCUACAUAAUCAAAUUUCAUUAGUAAAUUUCAGAGUAUUUUGUCUGUUCUUUUUACAAGCUAGUACAGUGAAACUUUCUUUUACCUUUUAAAUAGAGGAAUAUUUAUGGUACCAAAUAUAUUGCUAAAAAUGGAAGCCGUGAUGGAUAUUGUAAGUCCUGUAAGUUGUAAAUAUGAAUUAUUUCAAGGUCUUAAGUAGGUUUAUGGAAAUGAUAGAAUUAAAUUAAAAUACCAUCCUAUAAUGUGUUUGGAAAAUUGUGCUGCUUCUACAGGAAAGUUGCCUAGUAAAUGUGAGUCUGUUUUCCAUAUUUGUAAUGUUUGUGUAAGGUAUACUGUCCAUGGCUGAAACAAGAUUUUGAUGUGUUGAGAAGUAUUCAAGCAAUGACUUAUGACUUUGAAAGCUCAUUAUUAUUUUAAAUAGUGUAACAUUUCCCCCAAUGAUGUGUCCUAAUUGACAAUCUGCUUCCAUUAUUAGGCUUUAUAAUGCUUCCCGUUAUUGUGAUGUCUGCAACUUUCUCUCUAUAUAAUUUGAUUAUCAGAAUGUGUUAAUAUCAGAGAAAUAAAGUCACUGUCCCAUACUGACAUGUAUAAUAAGAAAACCACUGCUCCAUACUGUAAAAAUAAUGUUUCAUAAGAUUCAUAAGAAUUGAAUAUGUUUUUGAUGUUUAAUUACAUUUAGAGUAAAAUAAAAUAUUUGCACAUGUGCCUUCCAGAGGCAGAAGAUAAGCCAUAGGAUGUCCAAAAUGUAAAUUUAAUAAUUGAAAUCCACCUCAUCUUGGGUUUAAUAUUAUUAUUAGUAUUGUGCCUCUACUCAUGAGCUUAUCAUUACUGUAAGUAUCCUACAAUCAUUCCACAUCUGUACUUUUUGUGAAUGAUUUCUGAGUGUUUUUGUCUUUUUUAAAACUGAGUGAUGGUAUUUUGUGAGGCAACAGCGGACUUGUGGGAUCUACAUAAACCUGAUAUUACUAUGAUUAUUAGUGAUGUAACAGUCUAUUGCAGAAUGUCACAAGGUUUGUAUAUGAUGUAAAUAUUGUAAUGUGUAAAAAAAAUGUAUUUUAUUUUCCCAUAAUUUGAAUGAUUCACAGUCUUUUCAUGUAUUGGAAUUAAUAAGUUUCACUUGCUUGUUCACUGAUAAUAACAGUAAAUCCAUUAUUCUUAAAAUCAAGUCAUAUUAAAAAAUAAUUUCUGUGUUACUUAACCUGUUGGUGAUUUAGACUCGUAUGCGAUAUGUUUCUUAACCUAAACCCAUAUUUAGACAGAUAUUUGCAUACACACACUAAUUUUACUGGAGAUAAAUAUUGCAUUAAAUUUCAAUGCAUUAACCCACUCAAUCUGUGAUGAUGCCCUAUUGCAUCAUGGCAGAGUAGUGACCCUCAUACUGGGAUGAGGGCCUAUUGUGUCAUGUGCAGUCGGGCCUAUUCUAUUGUGCACACUAAAUAGUUAGUUUGCUUGUGGUCAUUGAGGUAAACCCAUUAAAAAUAACCUUAUAACUUCUUUUAAGCCUCAUUACCUAAACAGUCGUUUGCGCUGUAGCCAUAGAGUAAAAGGCAAGAUAAAUGUUUCCUGCAUUUCUCAUUCUUGAGCAGGUUACACAUGCUGGUGUGUGGUUUGGUAUAGCACUGAGCUCUCUAUGUGAAUGUGUUUAAGCCAUUCAGAAACUUUAAAUUAUUUAUUAACAUAAAUCAUAUAAAUAAAACUAAUAAUGAUAAAAAAGUACUAAGCAUUACUUGAAUCGGAUUAAGAUAUACCUAAGCCAUUUAUACAUGCCAAGUUUUUUGUUCUAGUUUAAUAGUUAAUGGUUUAAAAGCAAAAUAAAUGUGCUAAACAUAAAAAAUCGUUUAGCACUUUAGGAAGGCAUAGUAUCAGAAAGGGUGAAGAGGGAACGAGUUAAUGAUUAGGGGUUACAUGUCAACAGUUGUACAGCAGUAGGAUAGUAUUGGAAAGGGUAAAGAUGGGUAAAGGUGGAGAGGUUGAGUAAAUGGGUUAAGCUAGGAAUAAGUAAAGAGGGAAUAAGAUCAAGUGAAAGAACUGUCUGCAUCUGAGGAAGGAGAUUAAGUUGUCAAAGGAGAAAAUGGAAUUCCUUUAAGAUGUCUUAAUAGGUUGGGAGGACAGGUGAGGGAAAGCUGAGGUACGGGCUGCAUUAUGAAUUUAGAAUCACUUGUAAACAUGGGUACUGGAGGAGUAAGUGGAGACAUGGUCAAGGAAAUGAGUGAGAUGGACAGAUGGGGUAAGGUAUAAGUUACAGAGCAGCAAAAUAAAUAAAAAGGGGAAGUAGGAGAUUGGGAAAGAAAAGUAUCUAUGUGAAUGGAGAAAGGAACAUGAAGAAAAAGCAAAGGUAGUAAGUAGCAAUUGAUGUUUAGUUAGUUUGGUGAAGGAACACGGGUGGAAAUGAGCAUAGCAUUGGAGAGAAAGAAGGGCAUGGCAUCAAGAAAGAGAUGGCAUGCCUGACUGUGCUUACAGGCUCUCAACUGGAGAGGAGCGGAUUAAGGGUUAAGCAAAGACCGCAAUGGUGGAAUGUAUCAAGAUGAGCAAAAAGGGAUGUAGAGGAAGAAGAGCAGAUAUAGCAUCCAUAAUCAAGGGUAAAGAAGAUCAGGGUAACAUGAAGAUGGAGGAGAGUUUUAUGGUCUGAACCCCAAGAUAUAUUAGAGAGAGACAGCAGUGAGCUUUUUCUUUUAUAGUGAAGAUGUGGCCUUGCCAGGACAGGUAAGAGUAAAAAAUAAUACCUGGGAACUUGCCAGAAGGAUGGUAUUAAAGCAUAGAAGAAUAGAAAUUGGGGACCUACACAUGUGCAAGAGAAAAGGAUGGAGAAGGAUAUGGAAGUAGAAAAGCAAAGUCAGUGAUUAGUGGCCCAGAAAGAAACUCAUAAUACUGUAGAUUUCAGGAGUUGGCAAAGAGCAGGUAUGGAUGGGCCAGAGGUAAAGAUGGUUAAAUCAUUGACAUCUAGUGAUGACUGGCCCCCUGGUGACAGAACUGAAACAAAAGUGAAUUGAACUGAGGAAAAGAAGAUGGUGUGGAAGAGGCAAUUUUGACACAGGGAGAGUGCGGUUGGCCCUGAUGGCAUGGCUGACAUGAAGACAGCCUUUCAACCUUUCAGCACAGCUCUUACACCUUAGGAAAUGGACAGAAGAAGGGGAUGAUGAAGAAAAGGAAUGAAAAGGGGAAGAAGCAAAGACCAUGCAAAAUUAGUUGAGAUGAGGGCUGAACUCCAAAGGAAUUCUGAUCCCCUAUAUUGUCUCCAUCUCCUAACCCCAUCCACAACAAUGAGCAAGGGAUUAGGGGGGCCCACAUGACAAAACCAAUUGAAAAUCAGAUGGUAAUUAAAUAAUGACAUUGCUGAAAAACAAGUAUCCAUGUGUGCAUGGAAAAAAAAAAAAAAAAAAAAAAAAAGAUAUUGAAAAGACAUUCUGGGAAA